UACGUAGGGUGCGAGCGUUGUCCGGAAUUAUUGGGCGUAAAGGGCUCGUAGGCGGUUUGUCGCGUCGGGAGUGAAAACACCGGGCUUAACUCGGUGCUUGCUUUCGAUACGGGCAGACUAGAGGCAUGCAGGGGAGAACGGAAUUCCUGGUGUAGCGGUGGAAUGCGUAGAGAUCCGGAGGAACACCAGCGGCGAAGGCGGCAUCCUGGACUGGUCCUGACACUCAGGAGCGAAAGCGUGGGGAGCGAUCCGG
rnacentral:rRNA from 1 species